rnacentral:rRNA from 1 species
AUCAACUUUCGAUUGGUAGGAUAGAGGCCUACCAUGGUGGUAACGGGUAACGGGGUGUUAGGGCACGACACCGGAGAGGGAGCCUGAGAAACGGCUACCACAUCCAAGGGUGGCAGCAGGCGCGCAAAUUACCCAAUCCCGACACGGGGAGGUAGUGACAAUAAAUAACAAUACGGGGUUCUUUCGGAUUUCGUAAUUGGAAUGAGUACAAUUUAAAUCUCUUAACGAGGAACAAUUGGAGGGCAAGUCUGGUGCCAGCAGCCGCGGUAAUUCCAGCUCCAAUAGCGUAUAUUAAAGUUGCUGCAGUUAAAAAGCUCGUAGUUGAAUUUCGGGACCAAUAUGUCGGUCGUGCCUCGGUACGUACUGGCAUCGUUGGUUUCUCCCUUCUGACGAACCAUGAUGUCAUUUAUUUGGUGUCGUGGGGAAUCAGGACUGUUACUUUGAAAAAAUUAGAGUGUUUAAAGCAGGCUCACGCUUGAAUACAUUAGCAUGGAAUAAUGAAAUAGGACGUUUGAUUCUAUUUUGUUGGUUUCUAGGAUCGACGUAAUGAUUAAUAGGGAUAGUUGGGGGCAUUAGUAUUCAAUUGUCAGAGGUGAAAUUCUUGGAUUUAUUGAAGACUAACUACUGCGAAAGCAUUUGCCAAGGAUGUUUUCAUUAAUCAAGAACGAAAGUUAGGGGAUCGAAGACGAUCAGAUACCGUCGUAGUCUUAACCAUAAACUAUGCCGACUAGGGAUCGGAUGAUGUUAAUUUUUUAAUGACUCAUUCGGCGCCUUACGGGAAACCAAAGUGUUUGGGUUC